GGGUUGUGAGGUUAAGCGACUAAGCGUACACGGUGGAUGCCCUGGCAGUCAGAGGCGAUGAAGGACGUGCUAAUCUGCGAAAAGCGCCGGCGAGGUGAUAUGAACCUUUGACCCGGCGAUGUCCGAAUGGGGAAACCCAGUGCAAUUCGUUGCACUAUCGUUAACUGAAUACAUAGGUUAACGAGGCGAACCGGGGGAACUGAAACAUCUAAGUACCCCGAGGAAAAGAAAUCAACCGAGAUUCCCCCAGUAGCGGCGAGCGAACGGGGAGCAGCCCAGAGUCUGAAUCAGCGUGUGUGUUAGUGGAACGGUCUGGAAAGUCCGGCGAUACAGGGUGACAGCCCCGUACACGAAAGCACACAGGCUGUGAACUCGAAGAGUAGGGCGGGACACGUGGUAUCCUGUCUGAAUAUGGGGGGACCAUCCUCCAAGGCUAAAUACUCCUGACUGACCGAUAGUGAACCAGUACCGUGAGGGAAAGGCGAAAAGAACCCCGGCGAGGGGAGUGAAAAAGAACCUGAAACCGUGUACGUACAAGCAGUGGGAGCCCCACCACUAAGCCAGUGGUGAGUCCACGUCAGCAUCCUUUGCCGAAGGUAAGGUUAACGGAGCGCAAGCGACGUUCAACCUCAAAAGAAGCAGAGGGGGCUUAGUGGUGGGGUGACUGCGUACCUUUUGUAUAAUGGGUCAGCGACUUAUAUUCUGUAGCAAGGUUAACCGAAUAGGGGAGCCGAAGGGAAACCGAGUCUUAACUGGGCGUUAAGUUGCAGGGUAUAGACCCGAAACCCGGUGAUCUAGCCAUGGGCAGGUUGAAGGUUGGGUAACACUAACUGGAGGACCGAACCGACUAAUGUUGAAAAAUUAGCGGAUGACCUGUGGCUGGGGGUGAAAGGCCAAUCAAACCGGGAGAUAGCUGGUUCUCCCCGAAAGCUAUUUAGGUAGCGCCUCGUGAACUCAUCUUCGGGGGUAGAGCACUGUUUCGGCUAGGGGGUCAUCCCGACUUACCAACCCGAUGCAAACUGCGAAUACCGAAGAAUGUUAUCACGGGAGACACACGGCGGGUGCUAACGUCCGUCGUGAAGAGGGAAACAACCCAGACCGCCAGCUAAGGUCCCAAAGUCAUGGUUAAGUGGGAAACGAUGUGGGAAGGCCCAGACAGCCAGGAUGUUGGCUUAGAAGCAGCCAUCAUUUAAAGAAAGCGUAAUAGCUCACUGGUCGAGUCGGCCUGCGCGGAAGAUGUAACGGGGCUAAACCAUGCACCGAAGCUGCGGCAGCGACGCUUAUGCGUUGUUGGGUAGGGGAGCGUUCUGUAAGCCGUUGAAGGUGUGCUGUGAGGCAUGCUGGAGGUAUCAGAAGUGCGAAUGCUGACAUAAGUAACGAUAAAGCGGGUGAAAAGCCCGCUCGCCGGAAGACCAAGGGUUCCUGUCCAACGUUAAUCGGGGCAGGGUGAGUCGACCCCUAAGGCGAGGCCGAAAGGCGUAGUCGAUGGGAAACAGGUUAAUAUUCCUGUACUUGGUGUUACUGCGAAGGGGGGACGGAGAAGGCUAUGUUAGCCGGGCGACGGUUGUCCCGGUUUAAGCAUGUAGGCGGAGGUUCCAGGUAAAUCCGGUACCUUUUAACGCUGAGGUGUGAUGACGAGGCACUACGGUGCUGAAGUAACAAAUGCCCUGCUUCCAGGAAAAGCCUCUAAGCUCCAGGUAACACGAAAUCGUACCCCAAACCGACACAGGUGGUCAGGUAGAGAAUACCAAGGCGCUUGAGAGAACUCGGGUGAAGGAACUAGGCAAAAUGGUGCCGUAACUUCGGGAGAAGGCACGCUGACAUGUAGGUGAAGCCCCUGCGGGUGGAGCUGAAGUCAGUCGAAGAUACCAGCUGGCUGCAACUGUUUAUUAAAAACACAGCACUGUGCAAACACGAAAGUGGACGUAUACGGUGUGACGCCUGCCCGGUGCCGGAAGGUUAAUUGAUGGGGUUAUCCGUAAGGAGAAGCUCUUGAUCGAAGCCCCGGUAAACGGCGGCCGUAACUAUAACGGUCCUAAGGUAGCGAAAUUCCUUGUCGGGUAAGUUCCGACCUGCACGAAUGGCGUAAUGAUGGCCAGGCUGUCUCCACCCGAGACUCAGUGAAAUUGAACUCGCUGUGAAGAUGCAGUGUACCCGCGGCAAGACGGAAAGACCCCGUGAACCUUUACUAUAGCUUGACACUGAACAUUGAGCCUUGAUGUGUAGGAUAGGUGGGAGGCUUUGAAGCGUGGACGCCAGUCUGCGUGGAGCCAACCUUGAAAUACCACCCUUUAAUGUUUGAUGUUCUAACCUGGCGCCGUAAUCCGGCGUGGGGACAGUGUCUGGUGGGUAGUUUGACUGGGGCGGUCUCCUCCUAAAGAGUAACGGAGGAGCACGAAGGUUGGCUAAUCCUGGUCGGACAUCAGGAGGUUAGUGCAAUGGCAUAAGCCAGCUUGACUGCGAGCGUGACGGCGCGAGCAGGUGCGAAAGCAGGUCAUAGUGAUCCGGUGGUUCUGAAUGGAAGGGCCAUCGCUCAACGGAUAAAAGGUACUCCGGGGAUAACAGGCUGAUACCGCCCAAGAGUUCAUAUCGACGGCGGUGUUUGGCACCUCGAUGUCGGCUCAUCACAUCCUGGGGCUGAAGUAGGUCCCAAGGGUAUGGCUGUUCGCCAUUUAAAGUGGUACGCGAGCUGGGUUUAGAACGUCGUGAGACAGUUCGGUCCCUAUCUGCCGUGGGCGCUGGAGAAUUGAGGGGGGCUGCUCCUAGUACGAGAGGACCGGAGUGGACGCAUCACUGGUGUUCGGGUUGUCAUGCCAAUGGCAUUGCCCGGUAGCUACAUGCGGAAGAGAUAAGUGCUGAAAGCAUCUAAGCACGAAACUUGCCCCGAGAUGAGUUCUCCCUGAGACUUAGAGUCUCCUGAAGGAACGUUGAAGACGACGACGUUGAUAGGCCGGGUGUGUAAGCGCAGCGAUGCGUUGAGCUAACCGGUACUAAUGAACCGUGAGGCUUAACCUUACAACGCCGAAG
rnacentral:rRNA from 1 species